GUAUGAAGGUGAGGGGGGAGUUAUAGGGCAAAGACAGGUGGCUAGGGAAUUGUGGACCCAAUGCCAGUGUCCAUCCCCAAAUGUAUAAUUAUUUAGGGCACACACCCAGCACCGAUCUGUUGAGGCCUGGGGGGAACUAGGUCCUGCCCCUGAAUAAUAAAAUGUCACCCCUCCUAUGUGUUCCCUGUUAAAGGUUAAUAAGGGGUUUAGUAAGAC